rnacentral:rRNA from 1 species
AUUGAACGCUGGCGGCAGGCCUAACACAUGCAAGUCGAGCGGAAGAAGGGAGCUUGCUCCUGGAUUCAGCGGCGGACGGGUGAGUAAUGCCUAGGAAUCUGCCUGGUAUUGGGGGAUAACGACUGGAAACGGGCGCUAAUACUGCAUACGUCCUGAGGGAGAAAGUGGGGGAUCUUCGGACCUCAUGCUAUGAGAGGAGCCUAGGUCGGAUUAGCUAGUUGGUUGGGUAAAGGCCUACUAAGGCGACGAUCCGUAACUGGUCUGAGAGGAUGAUCAGUCACACUGGAACUGGACCACGGUCCUGGCGCCUACGGGAGGCAGCAGUGGGGAAUAUUGGACAAUGGGCGAAAGCCUGAUCCAGCCGUGCCGCGUGUGUGAAGAAGGUCUUCGGAUUGUAAAGCACUUUAAGUUGGGAGAAAGGGCAGUAAGUUAAUACCUUGCUGUUUUGACGUUACCAACAGAAUAAGCACCGGCUAACUUCGUG